rnacentral:rRNA from 1 species
AGCGAACGCUGGCGGCAGGCCUAACACAUGCAAGUCGAACGGCAGCACAGAGGAGCUUGCUCCUUGGGUGGCGAGUGGCGGACGGGUGAGGAAUGCAUCGGAAUCUGCCUAUUUGUGGGGGAUAACGUAGGGAGACUUACGCUAAUACCGCAUACGUCUACGGGAGAAAGUGGGGGACCGCAAGGCCUCACGCAGAUAGAUGAGCCGAUGCCGGAUUAGCUAGUUGGCGGGGUAAAGGCCCACCAAGGCGACGAUCCGUAGCUGGUCUGAGAGGAUGAUCAGCCACACUGGAACUGAGACACGGUCCAGACUCCUACGGGAGGCAGCAGUGGGGAAUAUUGGACAAUGGGCGCAAGCCUGAUCCAGCCAUGCCGCGUGUGUGAAGAAGGCCUUCGGGUUGUAAAGCACUUUUGUCCGGAAAGAAAAGCAUUCGAUUAAUACUCGGGUGUUAUGACGGUACCGGAAGAAUAAGCACCGGCUAACUUCGUGCCAGCAGCCGCCGUAACAC